UCCGCGGUAGCUCAGUCGGUAGAGCGGGUGACUGUUAAUCACCAUGUCCGAGGUUCGAGUCCUCGCCGCGGAG
rnacentral:tRNA from 1 species